UACGUAGGCAGCGAGCGUUGUUCGGAGUUACUGGGCGUAAAGAGUGCGUAGGCGGUGUUCCAAGUCUGUUGUGAAAUCUCCCGGCUCAACUGGGAGGGUGCGGCGGAAACUGGGACGCUGGAGUACGGGAGAGGUAAGCGGAAUUCCUGGUGUAGCGGUGAAAUGCGUAGAUAUCUGGAGGAACAUCGGUGGCGAAGGCGGCAUCCUGGACCGGUAUUGACGCUGAGGCGCGAAAGCCAGGGGAGCAAACGGG
rnacentral:rRNA from 1 species